CAGCUCUUGACAUGCUAGGUUUCGGACUUGAGAGAUCAGGUCCCUCAGUUCGGCUGGGCCUAGUACAGGUGCUGCAUGGCUGUCGUCAGCUCGUGUCGUGAGAUGUUGGGUUAAGUCCCGCAACGAGCGCAACCCUCAUCUUCAGUUGCCAUCAGGUUAUGCUGGGCACUCUGAAGAAACUGCCGGUGACAAGCCGGAGGAAGGUGGGGAUGACGUCAAGUCCUCAUGGCCUUUAUGAGCUGGGCCACACACGUGCUGCAAUGGUCGGUACAGAGGGUUGCAAUACCGCGAGGUGGAGCCAAUCCCAGAAAGCCGAUCCCAGUCCGGAUCGGAGUCUGCAACUCGACUCCGUGAAGUCGGAAUCGCUAGUAAUCGCGGAUCAGCUAUGCCGCGGUGAAUACGUUCCC
rnacentral:rRNA from 1 species